UGAUUUAAUACUAUGUAUUAAUCAUGUAAUAGAAUCUUAGAUCUAAGGAUUCUCUGAUUUUAAAAAAUAAAUUUUGAUUUAUUUUAGUCUUCUGUUGCCUGAUCUUGAAAAUGUUUCAAGAUCUAACCCUGAAACCCUAGAUCUGGUUCCUACAACAGCUUCUUUUACAGCAUCAGAUGCAUGAUAUAUUCCACCUUGCGAGU
rnacentral:lncRNA from 1 species